ensembl:processed_transcript uncharacterized LOC110285832
AUAUGGUUCAUCUCAAAGCCCUUUACACUUUGGAGCCAGGCCUGUUCAAGUUUACAAAUAGCANAUUUUGCUUGUAGUCAGGUAGGUAUUGAUGGCUGGUGCUUUCUUAGGGAGCAUAUUUAGAUGGCCACUUAAUGAUGAACAAUGUAAAUGGCAAGCAUAUGCCUGAGUUGCAGUGAUGUCAUCUUACUACUGAAAAGUGGGCUGAAGAAAGAAGGUGCUGAGGUGGCUGUGAAUGCAUUUAAAAUGACAUUGUUUCUGUUUCCAGGGUACUGUGACAACGUGAAGAGCUCAAGCUGCCUCCCAGGAUGAGUACAGGUUUUCCUGGUGAUGAUGAAUCUCAGGCAUUCAAAGGUUAGUUAGAUUAUUUUGGAUGGGGUUUGUUCACUAGGUUGGCUGUUUCUAUGAUGAAUCAAACUAGCUCACUAUGACUGCUAAUGAAAACACAGGAACACCUGAGAAACCAAAGGGUAGAGUGCGGGGGCAAGGGCGCUUAUAUCCAGCCUUUUCAACGUUUGUUAUUUUUCUCCAGGUUCUGUUAGCAGUGCCAUGCUUGUUGGCUCACAGAGAGGGUGUGUCUGGCUGAGAGCAAAGGAGCCAUACCA